rnacentral:snRNA from 1 species
UGGAAAGGCUGAAGCUCAUCCAC